GCUUGCAGCAGGCUAUGGGUUGUGUGAAUCUUUCCCAUGCUGCUCGUGAAAAUCAUUAAUUUGUGGCCGUUGUUUUUAUUAUUACGAAUUCGCCGAUUUUUCUUUGUUGAUGUGGUAAACAAAUAUUUAAAGGCUGGUUCAAAAUUCAAAUGUGCAAUGCCUAUUACAGUAAGUGCUUCCUCGUGUAAGAAUUUUACGUCAGAGGGCAGAGGUGACAGCUAAACACAGCAGACGCCAUAAAGGCCAUAUAGCCAGCAGGAUUGCAGGAAUGAGGAAUGUUGAUUUUACAUUUCAAACCUUCUCAAAUCGUCCUAGGGUCGCUGUUAUUUCCUGUUCGUUCAUAAUUUUUAUCAGAUGCAAUUAAAAUAUUGCGUUGUGUUUAAUGCAUUUUCUUUUGUUAACCAACCACUCAUCGUGAAACUAAAUUAUGCAAUUGCACCUUGCUUAAUAACGUUAGUGCUGAAGAUUUUUCGAUUUUCUUUGAUCAUUUCAAAUGGUUUCAUGUGAGAAAAUGAAUAAGUUGCCAGGUUAACCGUUGGGAUCAGAUUACUCUCUAGGUCUCCAGUAGUCCAACUCAACGCCACAUUUAGUGGAACAGCAACUGUCUAUGUCAAUGUGAUCCAACAGUAUUAAGAGGUUUGGCUGGGUUCGAGGAAAUGAAAGGUGCAGAGGCUUGAGACGAAGGGGAGUUGUUGAUGAGAAGAUGAGAAGAGAUACAAAAGGAGAGUGCGGGUCAGGAAGGCGAGAGAAACCAGAAACGGUCGAGACAAGAUGAGGCAGACACAAGUUGUGGAAGGAGAAAAA